AUGCUUCCCCAGGUGUCCUCACGCUCUGGGACCCAUGCCCUCCGGCCUGUGCCGCUUAGCUGGCACCUGCAGGGCCGCAUUUAUUUUGGGGAGGGGCGGCCGGUGGUUCCCUCCCAGCAGCUGCCUUCUCUCUCCACCUGCUCUGCCCCGCUUCGCCCUUUGGUCCCCUGCGGGUGGGAGCUGGUGCUCCCCACUGCUUGGGCUCCUGGCCCCCUAGCUGACUGUCCUGGGUGGCGGCUUCCCCACGUGGGCGGCGGGCCUAGCGCUCCCGCCGCACUCCCUGCCCGGGCACCUCCCUGGCGCCCUCCUCCGCUUGGCUGGGCCCGGUCUUCCACCUUCCGAGCCCGCAGCCACGGUGAGUCUGGUCUGUCCUGUUUUGAAGGGAGGAGGCUGCCACACGACGAGGCCUGCCCACCUUGGUCGGCUGCCCUCGUCUCCUCUCCGACUUCUGGAGAGCGGCCUUCCGGGGCGCCUGCACCUCACCUGCCCUCCCAGCUCCCUGCCUUGCCAAGGUCACCUGAGAUGGCCAUUGCUCGAAACCAGGGACGGCUGUCAGGCCGUGGGAGUGGGCCUCGUGGCCGCAGGGCAGCUGCCCGCUGCACACCCUCCCCCCUCUCCAGCUCACCUCCCACAGCACUGACCCCUCAUUACCUUCUUCCCGGGGUCACAGGGAGGAACAAGGACCAGCCCGGGCCCUGCAGGGCUGGGAGCCUGCGGGCAGGGGGAAUUCAGAGGAAGGGGGACAGGUGCCCCCAGUCAGGGAGCAGCCCCAGAGGUGGGCAGAGCACACCCCGCGAGGGCAGCAGGGAUCCUAGGUCUAGAGGUCAGAGCGGGUCCGGGAGGUCAUGCUGGGUCUGGGGGCGCUGCUGCCACCCCAGGCCAGCGUGUCCCCACCGGGCUCACCCCCCCCCCCCUUCACUCUGUUCCGUUCUGUUAUUUCCAUUUUGGGCAAAAGACACAAGCGUCCACCCAGCUGCUGGCACCAGCAGCCUUAGUCACGCCACUGCUCACUCCCGGUUACUCACCGGCCCUGGAUCCUGGGGAUUCCGGGCUCGGCCCCCACCCCGCUGCUGGCCGCCUGAGCGGCCCUCCUUUCCCGCUGGGGGCUUCUCACAGCCUCUACCUGCUUGGCCUGCUGUCUCAGCCUCCCUCCGCCCAAAGCAUUCUUCAGCCUCAAGCCGCAGGAUCUUUCCAGCAAGCACGCCUGACCAGCCGCUCCGUUCCUGGAAUCCUUCAACGUCUUCCUGUCACAGGCUGGACCCUUUGGUGUCCCCUCCCAUCUAUCCCCAGCACCGGCCCCCCAUCUCAUCACCCGUCGUGCUGCUCCCUCCUCACCUGUGUCCCAAGCCUGUGGCUCUGCACCAAAUAGUCUCCUUCCCUUCUUGCAGAGGGGGUGCUACUCAAGCUCAAGAACACCACCUCCUCCAGGAAGCCCUCCUGACCUCCCUUCCUCCCUUCUCAGAGCCCUCCUCCAUCCCUCACACUCCACUAUUACCUUUCGUCACUCAAUACAUCUCCUACUGGGAGUCCCAGUGCCUCUUCUUCUGUACCCUGAUCCCCGGUAGGAUGUCUGGCACAUAA
ensembl:lncRNA